rnacentral:tRNA from 1 species
GGCGUAGCUCAGCUGGUAGAGUAGUGGUCUCCAAAACCAUUGGUCGUGGGUUCGAAUCCUACCGCC